rnacentral:rRNA from 1 species
CCUACGGGAGGCAGCAGUGGGGAAUAUUGGGCAAUGGGCGCAAGCCUGACCCAGCAACGCCGCGUGAAGGAAGAAGGCUUUCGGGUUGUAAACUUCUUUUCUCAGGGACGAAGCAAGUGACGGUACCUGCGGAAUAAGCCACGGCUAACUACGUGCCAGCCGCCGCUGUAAUCCGUCGGUGGCAAGCGUUAUCCGGAUUUACUGGGUGUAAAGGGCGUGUAGGCGGGAAAGCAAGUCAGAUGUGAAAACCAUGGGCUCAACCUGUGGCCUGCAUGUGAAACUGUUUUUCUUGAGUACUGGAGAGGCAGACGGAAGUCCUAGUGUAGCGGUGAAAUGCGUAGAUAUUAGGAGGAACACCAGUGGCGAAGGCGGUCUGCUGGACAGCAACUGACGCUGAGGCGCGAAAGCGUGGGGAGCAAACAGGAUUAGAUACCCCAGUAGUC